rnacentral:rRNA from 1 species
UACGUAGGGGGCAAGCGUUGUCCGGAUUUAUUGGGCGUAAAGAGCUCGUAGGUGGUUCGGUAAGUCGGAUGUGAAAUCUCCAGGCUCAACCUGGAGGGGUCAUUCGAUACUGCCGUGACUAGAGGUCGGUAGGGGAGUGUGGAAUUCCUGGUGGAGCGGUGAAAUGCGUAGAUAUCGUAAGGAAGACCAGUGGCGAAGGCGGGUCUCUGGACAGUUCCUGACACUGAGGCACGAAGGCC